rnacentral:rRNA from 1 species
UAGGGAAUCUUCGGCAAUGGGGGGAACCCUGACCGAGCAACGCCGCGUGAGUGAAGAAGGUUUUCGGAUCGUAAAGCUCUGUUGUUAAGGAAGAACGAGUGUGAGAAUGGAAAGUUUAUACUGUGACGGUACUUAACCAGAAAGGGACGGCUAACUACGUGCCAGCAGCCGCGGUAAUACGUAGGUCCCGAGCGUUGUCCGGAUUUAUUGGGCGUAAAGCGAGCGCAGGCGGUUAGAUAAGUCUGAAGUUAAAGGCAGUGGCUCAACCAUUGUAGGCUUUGGAAACUGUUUAACUUGAGUGCAGAAGGGGAGAGUGGAAUUCCAUGUGUAGCGGUGAAAUGCGUAGAUAUAUGGAGGAACACCGGUGGCGAAAGCGGCUCUCUGGUCUGUAACUGACGCUGAGGCUCGAAAGCGUGGGGAGCGAACAGG